GGGGUCGUAGCGCGGCCGCUGGCAGGGCGGGGGGUACGAAAGAGGAACCUUCCGGGCAGGGGGUGAGUGCCUGGAGCAGGCAGGACGCUGCGGCUGAAGUCUGUGCUCAGAGCUGAGACACUUGGCACAACUGCUUCCGCCCUGCAGCCGCCUUCGCCCAGGAAAAGUCACUUAGAGUCGCCCCGCCCUCUGGAUCUUCUUCCUAUGAUUAGAAGUUUUUAAGCUCUGUAUCACUGGGGCCAUGGUUCUCGAUAUUUAACUCUUGUGGCCCAGAGCUAUGAAGGCAGAACACUAGCACUGAAAGUCCUUGUCCACCCUGAGGCCCUGGCCACCCAACGGGAGACUGACUCUGGGAGACCAUGCUCAAGAUGUGAGCAGAGUCUGACCAGAAC
ensembl:lncRNA